rnacentral:lncRNA from 1 species
UUCUUGAUAGUUCCGGUAACAUCGCGUUUGUGAGGAACCGUUCGACUAUGUCCAUUUGUCUUCUUCAUGGGCUCGUUCUUCUUCCUUGCGGGAUUUCAGGCAAGAUGACCAUACCCUCGAAAUCACUUCUAUCUUUGCUUGCUAGUUGCUCGCUCUUUUGCUAUGCCUAUGCUGCGAUACCUACCACUUGCUUAUCAUGCCUCCCAUAUUGUUGAACCAAGCCUCUAACCCACCUUGUCCUAGCAAACCGUUGUUUGGCUAUGUUACCGCUUUGCUCAGCCCCUCUUAUAGCGUUGUUAGUUGCAGGUGAAGAUUGAAGUUUGUUCCUUGUUGGAACAUGGAGAUGUUGCUCCUUGUUGGAACAUGUUUACUUGUUGGGAUAUCACAAUACCUCUUAUUUAAUUAAUGCAUCUAUAUACUUGGUAAAGGGUGGAAGGCUCGGCCUUAUGCCUGGUGUUUUGUUCCACUCUUGCCGCUCUAGUUUCCGUCAUAUCAGUGUUAUGUUCCCGGAUUUUGCGUUCCUUACACGGUUGGGUUAUAAUGGGAACCCCUUGACAGUUCGCCUUGAAUAAAACUCCUCCAGCAAUGCCCAACAUUGGUUUUACCAUUUGCCACCUAGCCUCUUUUUCCCUUGGGAGUCGUGCUCCUGAGGGUCAUCAUUAUUUUAACCCCCCGGGCCAAUGCUCCUCUGAGUGUUGGUCCAAACUAGAGCCCCUUGCAGCGCCACCUCGGGGAAACUCGAGGGCUGGUUUUAGUUGUACGGACUGCUCAUCUGAGUGUGCCCUGAGAACGAGAUAUGUGCAGAUCCUAUCGGGAUUUGUCGGCACAUUCGGGCGGUGUUGCUUGACUUGUUUUACCAUUGUCGAAAUGUCUUGUAACCUGGAUGCCGAGUCUGAUCGGAAUGUCUUGGGAGAAGGAAUAUCCUUUGUUGACCGUGAGAGCUUGUGAUGGGCUAAGUUGGGACACCCCUGCAGGGAUUUGAACUUCCGAAAGCCGUGCCCGCAGUUAUGGGCAGAUGGGAAUUUUUAAUGUUCGGUUGUAGAAAACCUGAAGUUGACCUUAAUUAAAAUACAUCAACCGCGUGUGUAACCGUGAUGGUCUCUUUCCGGCGGAGUCCGGGAAGUGAACACGGUGUUGGAGUUAUGCUUGACGUAGGUUGUUCUAGGAUCACGUCUUGAUCAUAGUUUCUCGAUCGUGCUUUGCCUUCUCUUGUCGCUCUCAUUUGCGUAUGUUAGCCACCAUAUAUGCUAGUCGCUUGCUGCAGCUCCACCUCAUACCUUUACCUUACCCAUAAGCUUAAAUAGUUUUGAUCGCGAGGGUGUGAGAUUGCUGAGUCCCCAUGACUCACAGAUACUUCCAAAACCAGUUUGCAGGUGCCGUUGAACCGUGCAGGUGAUGCAACCAAGCUCAAGGAGGAGCUCGAUGAAGAUGUUGUCCUUUAUGUUGUUUCGUUUCCAGUUGAUCAAUAGUGGAGCCCAGUUGGGACGAUCGGGGAUCUGUGUAGCAUUUGGGGUAGUCUUCUUUUAUUUUGGGUUUCGUAGUCGGCCCUUGAUUGUAUCUGGUUGAUGUAAUGCUUUAUUCAUGUAUUUGUGUGAAGUGGCGAUUGUAAGCCAACUAUGUAUCUUUUCCCUUAUGUAUUACAUGGGUUGUGUGGAGAUUACCUCACUUA